UACGUAGGGUGCGAGCGUUGUCCGGAAUUAUUGGGCGUAAAGGGCUCGUAGGCGGUUUGUCGCGUCGGGAGUGAAAUCCACUGGCUUAACUGGUGGCUUGCUUUCGAUACGGGCAGACUGGAGGUAUGCAGGGGAGAACGGAAUUCCUGGUGUAGCGGUGAAAUGCGCAGAUAUCGGGAGGAACACCUAUGGCGAAGGCAGCUCGCUGGGACGUUACUGACGCUGAGACGCGAAAGCGUGGGGAGCAAACAGG
rnacentral:rRNA from 1 species